UCAUGCCAUUCAUCAAAUGCUCAUAGGGCUCUGCGGGUCGUUAAGCGCCGCAAUGGCUGUCUCGAUCUUCAUUUUCAGAUUCUCUUUCUCAUUUUCGUCCGCCUGCAUCGAAUGAACACAUAAAAAACAGGGUGAGAUUCUCUUGGUCAU